AAAAAGAGAGGAAAAAAACAUAGGCAACUAAUCGAAACUCGGGAAAGGAAAAAGAAGAACUUACAAAGAUGAGAGAAAUAAAAAGAAAAGCUAAAGAAGUGAUGAGCCAAUAUGAAAGCACAAGAAGGAAGAGAAAGUAAAAAGGAAAGAGAGAUGUUUAGGCCUUCUUCUCCUGUAAUAACUAGGGUUUGUCCAUACAAAAACAAGGGUCUCUACCUCUUCAUCUCCACCUUUUUUUCAACUGAUUGAAACGACUCAACCCAAAAACAGAGAGAGGAAAUCUAUAAAAGCCCCAAUUCCUAAUAAAAC
rnacentral:lncRNA from 1 species